AGCUCUGUAAGCGUAUACCAAAGUUGUUGCAGUUAAAACGCUCGUAGUCGGACUUUGGCGGUUCCGGAUGUGUGCACAUCGCGUGGGCACUUCGCAGGGGCUGCUUUUGUGGUUUUGCAUAGGAUGAGGCACUUCAUUGUUGAACGUCCGAUUGCUGCCACUCUUUACUGUGAGAAAAGUAAGGUGCUCAAAGCAGGCAAUUGUCAUGAAUAUAUUAGCAUGGAAUAAUGGAAUAGGACUAUGUUCUAUUUUGUUGGUUUGUUGGAACAAAGUAAUGAUUAAAAGGGACAGUUGGGGGCAUUUGUAUUACGGCGCUAGAGGUGAAAUUCUUAGAUUGCCGUAAGACACACUGCUGCGAAAGCGUCUGCCAAGGAUGUUUUCAU
rnacentral:rRNA from 1 species